AUGGUUGCAAAGGAGCUCCUGAAUCACAACAAUGCACCAACACAGACAGCAUUGUCUGUGAGGGAGUUUUUAGCCAGAUGGCGUGCGACCCUGGAGGAGGCAGCGGCGCCCGAGCAGGGUGGAGGGAGCUGCGUGCUAUGCUGCGGAGAUCUGGAGGCCAUGGCGGUGGGUCGCUGCGACCACCCGGUGUGCUACCGCUGCUCCACCAAGAUGCGGGUGAUGUACGAGCAGCGCUACUGCGCCGUGUGUCGCGAGGAGCUGCACCAGGUUGUCUUCGGGAAGAACCUCCCUGCCUUCGCCGCCAUCCCCAUCCACCAGCUGCACCACGACAUAAAAUAUGACAUCUACUUUAUGGAUGGCAAAGUCUACGCACUGUACACGCAGCUGCUGCAGCAUGAUUGCCCGCGGUGUCCCGAGCUGUCCUUCUGCGACUUCGGGGAUCUGGAGCAGCACAUGCGGAAGCAGCACGAGCUCUUCUGCUGCCGGAUGUGCCUCGAGCACCUCCAAGUCUUCACGUACGAGCGCAAGUGGUACUCGCGCAAGGAACUGUUUCGGCACCGCCUGCACGGGGACCCCGGCGACACGUCACACCGCGGACACCCACUCUGUAAGUUCUGUGAUGAGCGCUACCUGGACUCCGAGGAGCUGCUCAAGCACCUGCGCCGCGACCACUACUACUGCCACCUCUGCAACUCAGAUGGGGCCCAGGACUACUUUAGUGACUAUGCGUACUUGCGUGAACACUUCCGGGAGAAGCACUUCCUGUGCGAGGAGGGCAACUGCAUCAUGGAGCAGUUCAGCUUUGUCUUCCGCACGGUAAUCGACCUCCAGGUCCACAGGCUGGCAUAUCACAGCCGGAGCCGUGCCGAGGUCCGCCAGAACCGCCAGGUUGACCUGCAGUUCCACUUGGCGCCACGACAUUACUCGCGCCGGUACUACAGGGUCUUCGGUGGUGACGACCAUGAGGAAGUGGACAGGCCCAGCCGCCAGGGCCGAGGGGGCCGAACCGGUGCACGUGGAACCCAGCAAAGCCGUCGAGGAAGCUGGCGGUACAAAAGGGAAGAAGAGGACCGAGAGGUGGCAGCUGCCAUCCGGGCCUCCCUGGCUACACAGCAGCAGGAGGAGACUCCCAAGAGCGAGGAACGAGAGGAAGGUAGCAGGCCCAAGAAAGAAGAGGCAGUGGCACAGGGGCCUGAGGAGCCCUGUGACCCCCAGCACCCAACCCAGUCUCCAGAGGAAGGCUCAGGCCCCAAGGAAACCUCGACAAAUUGUCCUAUGAGCCAGGAGACCUUUCCAGCAACGGACUCGGCCUCAGGGCCUGCCCUUCCCAGCACCCUCCCACCACCCACCCCAGAGCUCAAGGACGAAGAAUUCCACGGCCUCUGUGCCCCCAUUUACUCCUCCUACUCCACUGUGGUGGCCCUGGGCCCUGUGGGAGUUCCUGGCAGGAGUAGGAACACCUUCCUAGAGGAGGACUUCCCCGCCCUGGUGUCCUCGACGUCCAAGCCCAGCACUGUCCCCACCAACCUCAUCUCUGCCUGGAACAGCAGCUGCAGUAAGAAGGUAGCACAACCUACCCCUGUGGCCCAGGCUUCCGGUGGGGGUGGCCAGCCUACCAGGAAGUCCUGGAAGGGGAACCGAGGUGGCAAGAAGGGUGGGCCGCCCCCCGUAGAGGAGGAGAAGGGCAGCCUGACUGUGCAGGAGCUGCAGAGCACAUGCACUACAGCCUCUGUCUCCUCCCUGCUGGGGCCAGCCUCCACCCAGACCUCCAAGGUCGGCAAGAAGGUGGGCUCUGAGGACCCCAGCACUGCGUUAUCCCAGCCACCACCCCCUAGCUGUCCCCCACAACCCCAUGGCAUUGAACAGGCCCCUGAGGCUCCUGCCAGCAAAGCCGAAGGGCCAGGCGCUGUCAUCAUCAGUGGAUACACAGAGGGGGCAGCCCCCACUCGGAGUGCCCCCAAGGAACCCCCCGGGCUCCCAAGGCCCCUGGGGUCUCUCUCCUGCCCCAUACCCCAGGAAGAUUUCCCAGCGUUGUGUGGCCCCUGCCCACCCAGGAUGCCCCCUCCCCCAGGGUUCAACACUGGGAUGCUCCUGAAGGGCACACCGCCCCCACCCCCGCCAGGUCUGGUGCCCUCUGUCAGCAAGCCACCCCCUGGCUUCUCUGGCCUCCUGCCCAGCCCCCACCCAGCCUGCGGCCCCAACCCUACCACCACCACGAAAGCACCCAAGCUGCCGGCCAUGCCACGGACCUACCUGGUCCCUGAGAACUUCCGGGAGCGGAACCUGCAGCUCAUCCAGUCCAUCAAGGACUGUCUGCAGAGCGACGAGGCCCGCUUCAGCAAGUUCAAGAGCCACUCGGGGGAGUUCAGGCAGGGCAUGAUCUCUGCAGCCCAGUAUUACAAGGGUUGCCAAGAUCUGCUUGGGGAGAAUUUCCAGAAGAUCUUUAAUGAGCUGCUGGUGCUGCUGCCUGACACAGCCAAACAGCAGGAGCUGCUGUCUGCACACAUGGACUUCCGCAGCCGCGAGAAGCCUCCCAGCACCAAGUCCAAGAAUAAUAAGAGCGCAUGGCACACUAACACGCAGCUGGCAGGCCUGGACUGCUGCGUGUGUCCCACCUGCCAGCAAGUGCUUGCACACGGAGAUGUCAGCAGCCACCAGGCACUGCACGCUGCCCAGGAGGAUGAAUUCCCCUCCCUGCAAGCCAUUGCCAGGAUCAUCACGCUUCGGCCAGCACAGGCGUCCUUUCCCCACUCUUCCUCCUCCGGGCUGCCAGGCAACUAG